rnacentral:rRNA from 1 species
UACGAAGGACCCGAGCGUUAUCCGGAUUUAUUGGGUUUAAAGGGUGCGUAGGCGGAACAGUAAGUCAGUGGUGAAAGCCUGUUGCUUAACAACAGAACUGCCAUCGAUACUGCUGAUCUUGAGUACAUAUGAUGUGGGCGGAAUGUGCCAUGUAGCGGUGAAAUGCUUAGAUAUGGCACAGAACACCGAUUGCGAAGGCAGCUCACAAAACUGUAACUGACGCUGAGGCACGAAAGCGUGGGGAUCAAACAGGAUUAGAUACCCCUGUAGU